UACUGCAUCAGUUCUAAACUGAUAAUAUUGGUUCCAGAUCUGGAUACUUCAACUGUUUGUUUUAAUUAAUAUAAUAUAUGCAAAAAUUUCAAAAGCAAGAAUUGGUAACUAAAUACUGGAGUUUCUGACACUGACUACAGAGUUCUUGCUGAAGGUUGAUCUCUCUCUCAAAAAUUAAAAUCACUUGGCAACAACAGACACGCAACCAGCAACUUGUCAAGUUUCAGCACAUAUUCACUGAAUAUGAAAAUCGGCAUUCUCAUACAUCUCUAUGCACAGGAACAAAAAGAAUAAAGCUGCAAAUACAUCUGUCCAGCAUAACAGAAGGACAAUGCUUCAACAUGUAGCCAAUGCUUUUUCUCAUACAUUCUGUUUCACUUGGACUUCCACAAAUUCAUCUCUAUGAUUGUACAUUA